rnacentral:pre_miRNA from 1 species
UAUUAAAAAAUCCCUUCAUUUUUACCGCUAAAAAUUGGCGUGUCAAUCAAUUAUACGUUGUAUGUCACAUGUACCUCGUUCUGACAUAUAUGGGACAAUUUUUAACAAUAAAAAUGAAUGUAAUUUUCAAUA